rnacentral:lncRNA from 1 species
AAAAAAUAUAAUAUUCAAAUUAUAUAAUUUAUAAAAUUUUCUGAAAUAAAAACAUAAAAAUAAGGAAACAAUAUCAUGCAAAAUAAGAAAACAAAAUGGAAGAAAAAAAGGAAAUAAAAUAGACGGAAAAAAAAGGAAACAUAACAACUAAUUUCGGAUAUAAUAUAUAUGAAAAAAAUCAAGGGAUAAAACAGUAAAAACACUAAACCUCUAAAAACUGGUCCACUCUCU